CGAAUCAUGAUGGCUGCUUUAAAAAAGAACUAUAUGCAGAAAAACUUAAUUGUGCUGACAUCUAUAAGCUGUGUAAUUUUUAUUUUUAAUUACACUGGCUUCUCUCUUUCUCUUGCAAAUUAGUUCUUUUUUUGUGGUAAUAUUAACAUCUUGGAUGGGAUCAGAAUGCUGCCGCUAGUAGUUCUUGGGUAAGACUUAGACUAGCACAAGGAUGUUAGACUCCAUGGAACUCUCAUAAUUCACUACUUUUGCUUUUAGCUGUCUUUGGUACACCCGGUAAGAUAGGGUGGGAUAGGGUAAGGUUAAGUAAGGCUCCUUCAUUAGUUAGUUAACAAAGAGGAAGGAUGAUCUUCAUGCCUGCGUUAAAAAUUUUUCCUUAUAUCCUUGCUUGCUGCAUUUGACACGAGGAAGUUUGCAUCUAAUUUCAUCUCAAAGUCAGAUGCCCAUAAAUUUAAUAUAUGAAUCCAGUUUAAUUGCUUAAGCACAAGUUUUGAUUUGAGCAUCUGUUCAACCUCUGGCUGAUACUUUAAGCUUUCAGUGAAUAAAACUUCGAAAUAUGUGUUAGUUGGCAAAUGAAUUUUAAGAUUGGAUCUGCUGUUGGAGAAGAUCAUGCUUUACAAAUUUUCAUGAAAAUGUGCAUCAGAAUUUAAAACUACAUAUAUCUUUUAGCAAUAGAUUCUUAUACAAUAUUUUUCUAAUACCUUCUUCAAAAUUUUUGGGUAGGGAACUUGGCAGUAUAUUGGAAGCAUUUUAGCAUAUAGUUCCAUCGUGUGGUUUACUUUUAAGUUGUUGGUAUAUUCUUUGGCAAGAUCAUCUUCCCCUCAUAUUAUCAUAAUCUUUUCUUCCUCUAUGUAAUUCUCUUCUUGUUGUUCCUACCUUCAUGGUUUCUAGGGCAAUUGCUUGGUAAUGUAAACAAUUUGUCCUACAAAGAAUUAAGAUCGGCAGCAGAUAAUUUUCAUUCAAGCAAGAAGAUAGGACGUGGUGGUUUUGGAACUGUUUACAAGGGAAUUCUAAGGAGUGGAAAAGAAGUUGCCAUUAAGACACUCUCUGCAGAAUCAAAGCAGGGAGUGCAUGAAUUUUUGACCGA